rnacentral:rRNA from 1 species
AACGAACGCUGGCGGCAGGCCUAACACAUGCAAGUCGAGCGCCCUUUCGGGGGAGCGGCGGACGGGUGAGUAACGCGUGGGAAUAUGCCCUUCUCUACGGAAUAGCCUCGGGAAACUGAGAGUAAUACCGUAUACGCCCUGUGGGGGAAAGAUUUAUCGGGGAAGGAUUAGCCCGCGUUGGAUUAGGUAGUUGGUGGGGUAAUGGCCUACCAAGCCGACGAUCCAUAGCUGGUUUGAGAGGAUGAUCAGCCACACUGGGACUGAGACACGGCCCAGACUCCUACGGGAGGCAGCAGUGGGGAAUCUUAGACAAUGGGGGCAACCCUGAUAUAGCCAUGCCGCGUGAGUGAUGAAGGCCUUAGGGUUGUAAAGCUCUUUCAGCUGGGAAGAUAAUGACGGUACCAGCAGAAGAAGCCCCGGCUAACUCCGUG